UUCCCCUUAGUAACUGCGAAGUGAAGCGGGAAAGCUCAAAUUUAAAAUCUGGCAGAAUGUUUGUCUGUCCGAGUUGUAACCUAGAGAAGUGUAACCUGUGCUGGACCGUGUACAAGUCUCCUGGAGUGGAGCAUCAUAGAGGGUGAGAGUCCCGUCUUUGACAUGGACUACCAGUGCACUGUGGUUGCGCACUCAACGAGUCGAGUUGUUUGGGAGUGCAGCUCUAAAUGGGUGGUAAAUUCCAUCUAAAGCUAAAUAUUGGCGAGAGACCGAUAGCGAACAAGUACCGUGAGGGAAAGAUGAAAAGAACUUUGGAAAGAGAGUUAAACAGUAUGUGAAAUUGUUGAAAGGGAAACACUUGAAGUCAGCUGCAUUGGCUGGGGAUCAAGCCAGCUUAUUUGCUGGGUGUACUUCCUGGUUGAUGGGCCAACAUCAGUUUUGACCAUCAGAGAAAGGCUAAGGGAAUGUGGCACCUUUAUAGGUGUGUUAUAGCCCUUGGUUGUAUGUGGUGGAUGGGACUGAGGAUAGCAGCGUGCCGCAAGGCCGGGUUUCGACCACGUUCACGCUUUGGAUGUUGGCAUAAUGGCUUUAAGUGACCCGUCUUGAAACACGGACCAAGGAGUCUAACAUGCAUGCAAGUGUUUGGGUGGAAAACUCAAGCGCGUAAUGAAAGUGAAAGUUGAGAUCCCUCUCACAGGGGAGCAUCGACGCCCGGACCAGAACUUUUGGGACGGAUCUGCGGUAGAGCAAGCAUGUUGGGACCCGAAAGAUGGUGAACUAUGCCUGAAUAGGGGUGAAGCCAGAGGAAACUCUGGUGGAGGCUCGUAGCGAUUUCUGACGUGCAAAUCGAUCGUCGAAUUUGGGUAUAGGGGGCGAAAGACUAAUCGAACCAUCUAGUAGCUGGAUCUGUG
rnacentral:rRNA from 1 species